rnacentral:rRNA from 1 species
UUGUGUGGCCAAAGCUCUUUGGCAAAGCCUGAUCUUGUCAGAUCUGAGAAUCUGAGCAAAGCCGGGCCUGGUUAGUACUUUGAUGAGAGACCACAGAGAAUUCCAGGGGCCACAGUGG